GACUGUUUUACCAAAAACAUAGCCUUAUAACUUAUAUAAGGUGUUACCUGCCCAGUGGUCAAUUUUUAUUACUUAAUAGUGAUGCUUAUGGACUAAACGGCCGCUGUAUAAGUGACGGUGAUAAUGUAGGAAAAUAAUUAGUUAUUUAAUUGAUGAACGUAGGUGAAUGGUUUAACGAGGGUUUCACUGUCUUAAUAAGAAAAUUUUAAAAUUAAAUUAAUAGUCAAGAUGCUAUUUACAAUUGUAAGACGAGAAGACCCUAUAAAGCUUGACUAUAAAACACAAGUUUUAAAAUAUAUAAGUCUAUAUGUUUUUUUCUUUUGUGUUUUGGUAGUUUGGUUGGGGCAACAACAUUUUAAACUUAAAAAAUGUAUUUUUAUAUAUUUAAAAAUGUAUUAUUGUUUAAUUUAUCAAUUUAACAAUUACAACGUAGAAAAAAGUGACCUAUCAAUUAAUAUAAAAAAUUUUAUUGAUAAUAAAUAAAUAAAAGUUACUUUAGGGAUAACAGGUUAAUUUUAUUUAAGAGACGAUAUUUAAAAUAAAGUUUGACACCUCGAUGUUGAAUUAAGUUAUCCCAGUAAUGCAGCAGUUACUAAAGGUUGGUCUGUUCGACCAUAAAAAACUUACAUGAUUUGA
rnacentral:rRNA from 1 species